rnacentral:rRNA from 1 species
UACGUAGGGGGGCAAGCGUUGUCCGGAAUCAUUGGGCGUAAAGCGCGUGUAGGCGGCCAGGUAAGUCCGUUCUGAAAGCCCGGGGCUCAACCCCGGGAGGCGGAUGGAUACUGUCGGGCUCGAGUCCGGAAGAGGAGUGUGGAAUUCCUGGUGUAGCGGUGAAAUGCGCAGAUAUCAGGAGGAACACCAAUGGCGAAAGCGACUUCCUGGACCAAUACUGACGCUCAUGUGCGAAAGCGUGGGGAGCAAACAGG